UACGUAGGGAUGGCAGCAGUGUUCGGUGAAUUACUGGGGCGUAAAGCGAGUGUAGGCGGUUUCCUAAGUCAGGUGUGAAAGCCCCGGGCUCAACCCGGGAAGUGCACUUGAAACUGGGAGGCUAGAGUAUCGGAGAGGUUGGUGGAAUUCUCGGUGUAGAGGUGAAAUUCGUAGAUAUCGAGAGGAACACCGGUGGCGAAGGCGGCCAACUGGACGAAUACUGACGCUGAGACUCGAAAGCGUGGGGAGCAAACAGG
rnacentral:rRNA from 1 species